CCUGGGCUAGGGCCCAACAUGGCUCCAGGGGAGGGGCCCGGGCCCGGGGAAGGGCCUGGCCGAGGAGUUCCGCCCAGCGGUGGGUCUGGAGUGGACAUCUUCACAGGAGCAGCACACAGUGGUCUCCUGCUAGAAAGAAAGCCGCCGUCGCCUUCCCGGCGCCGCCCCCGCCCCUCCGCGCGGGGCCGGGGGCAGAGUGGGCGUCUCGCCUCUCCUCACGAAACAAAGAAGCCGCCGCCGCCACCGCCGCCGAGAGAGGGUAAGUCUCGCGCGCGCGCCCGCUCGCCUCGGCCGCCCCCCCACGCCGCCCGCGCCCCCGCUGCGCGCGCACUCGCCAGCUCCCCUCCCCCCUACGGUCGGCUUCUCUCGCUUCCGCCGCCCGCUCGGCCUCGUGCGCGCGCCCGUCCGCCCUUCCGCUCCCAGCGCGCGUGCGCGUCCGCUCGGGGCCUAGCGGAGGUAGGCGGGACCAGAGAAAGCUGGCGCUCCAGAUGUUCCCCCCCGACUCAGUCCGGGAAGGUCGUGCUCAUGCGCACCGGCGUCUUCGUCCUCACGCUGCGUCCCCACGCUGCCGAGCAUGCGCAGAGCGGGCGCCACUGCGGCGGUGGCUGCGUUGGUUCCCGCGGCUGCGGCGGGGGGUUGGGGGAUGGGAUGGGAUGGAAUGGCGGCGGGGUCUGCAGGGAAGGGUUGGCCGAGGGGCUUUGAGACCCGCAGAAGAAGACCCGAGGCCGUGGUGUUUCUUAAACGUCCUUGACAUGCUAAACACUGAGCUGGUCCCUGGCCUCCAGUGGUCCACUGAGCAGACAGUGUCCUGGUUGUGAUGUGGACAAUCUGUGAGUUCAGGGGAGACCGUGAGGACAUGAGAAUGGCGGCAAGGAAGGAGCUGGAGUCCUGCUUUAAGGGCAAGAUGUCUAUCGGGAACAGUUUCGUAGACCAGUGCUUCGUGGCUGUACGUUGGGAUCCCAGUGUAAAUGAAACUGGUGCCUUUAACGCUCAGGUCUGUGAUACGUGUUCAGUUCAUUUUUAUGUGUGGCGUGAGGUAUAAUCGAAGUUCAUUGUUUUCUGGAGGGAUAUCUAAUUGCCCCAGCCCCAGUCCUGAAAUGUCUGCUCCCACAUUGAAUUACUGUGGCACUUUUGUAAAAAUCGAUUCACUGUUUAAGCAUGAGUCUGAUUCUGGAUUCCCGUGUUUUGUUGUUGAUCGAUAGGUCUACGUUAUGCUAAGACCACACUGUCUUGAUAAGUGUAGCUUUAUAAUAACUUUUGAAAUCAGGUACUCCUCCGAAUUUGCCCUUUUUAAAAAUUGUUUUGGUUACUCUAGGUCCUUGCAUUUCUGUGUAAAUUUUAGAAUCAGCCUGUCAAUUUCUACCAAAAACUGCUGGGAUUUUGAGUGGGAUCACAUUGAAUCUGUAGGCCAAUUUGGGGAGAAGUAUUACCUUAAUAUUACAUCCUCUGAUCCAUGAACAUGGUGUAUCUGUUUAUUUAGGUCUUCUCUAACUUCUAUUAAAUUUGCUCUUUUCAGGCCUUUCCUAUUCCACUGGAAUGACUCUUUAAGGUCACAGGCACCUGCCUGUUGCUAAAUGCAGGAGUCAAUUCUCAUCUUCACUUUCCCUGACCUUCUGGCAACAGUUGACACGUUACCUCCUUAGAACAUUCUAUUCAUGGGGCGCCUGGGUGGGUGGCUCAGUCGGUUGAGCGUCUGACUUCAACUCAGACCAUGAUCUAGUGGUUCACGAGUUCGAGCCCCACGUCGGGCUCUGUGCUAACAGCUCAGAACCUGGAGCCUGCUUUGGAUUCUCUCUCUCUCUCAAAACUAAAUAAACAUUAAAAAUUAAAAAAUAAAAAAGACAUUGUAUUCACUUGGCUUCCAACGCACCACACGCUUCAUACACUUCUGGGUUUCUUCCCAUGCCAAUAGCUGCUCUUUCCCAGGCUCCCUUGUAGCUUCCUCUUCUUCCCAGUUACUUCUUGAUAACGAACUACCCCAGGACUUGGUCCCCUAUCUGUAUUCACACCCUUAGCUUCCAGUCUUGUGACCUUAAGAAACCAUCUCCAUCCUAGGUAUCUAACCCAAAGGAAUAGAAAGUAGGUACUUGAACAAAUACUUGAAAACAAAUAUUUAUUGCUGUGCCACUACUCACCAAAGCUAAAAGUUGGAAACAGUCCAAGUAUCUGUUAACAGAUGAAUGGAUGGACUGUGGUGCACACAUUCAAUGGAAUGUUCAUCCACAAAAAGCAAUGAAGUUCUAAUACAUGCUAUGACGUGGGUGAACCUUGAAACCGUGCUAAAUAAAAGAAAUCAGACAGUCUGUUGCAAAUGCCCAGAAUAGGCAAAUCCAUACAGACAGAAAGCAGAUUGCCCAGGGUCUUGGGAGAAGGGGGAGGGAAUACCUGCUUGACUGGUUCAGGGUUUUAUUUGGGGAUGAUGAAAAUAUUUUGGAACUAGAUAGACGCGGAGCUUACACAUUGUGAAUGCACUAGAUACCACUGAGUUGCUCAUUUUCUUUUUAUUUUAUUUUAUUUUUUUGUUUAUUUUGAGAGAGAGAGAGAGAGCGCGAAUGGAAGAAGGGCAGAGAGAGAGAGAAUCCCCAGCAGGCUCCAUACCACCAGUGCAGAGCCUGAUGCAGGGCUCAACUCAUGAACCAUGAGAUCAUGACCUGAGCCGAAAUCAAGAGUCCAGCAGUUGUCCAAUUAGCCAACUGAGCUACCCAGGCGCCCCUGAAUUGUUCAUUUUAAAAUGUCUAAUUCUGUAGGGCGCCUGGGUGGCUCAGUCGGUUAAGCAUCCGACUUCAGCUCACAAUCUCACGGUCCGUGAGUUCGAGCCCCACGUCGGGCUCUGGGCUGACAGCUCGGAGCCUGGAGCCUGCUUCGGAUUCUGUGUCUCCCUCUCUCUCUGCCCCUCCCCCACUUGCACACGUGCUUGCUCUCGCGCUCUCUCUC